rnacentral:rRNA from 1 species
GUGCCAGCAGCCGCGGUAAUACGUAGGUGGCAAGCGUUGUCCGGAUUUAUUGGGUUUAAAGGGUGCGUAGGCGGAUGCUUAAGUCAGGGGUGAAAGACGGCCGCUCAACGGUCGCAGUGCCUUUGAUACUGGGCAUCUUGAGUGCAGACGAGGUCUGUGGAAUGGAUGGUGUAGCGGUGAAAUGCUUAGAUACCAUCCAGAACACCAAUUGCGAAGGCAGCAGACUAGGGUGCAACUGACGCUGAGGCACGAAAGUGCGGGGAUCAAACAGGAUUAGAUACCCGGGUAGUCC